AAGUAGAAAGCAAUUUUUGCAUUUAGUUUCGGCCUAAAAGUUUGGUGACUGCGCCCUCACCUCUACUUA
rnacentral:tRNA from 1 species